UUCACGACACAUCGAAUAUCGGAAAAACAAAAAAAUAACGUGAGAUAUGGCUGAAAAUAUUUUUUUUUUGAUAUAUGGCUGAUUUGACCAAAAUUCUUUGCAUGGUGAUUUCGAUGACCUCACCUCACCUUUAGCUAGCUCAGCUGAUUUUGACAAUUUGACGCGGCAGUGGUUCGUGUAAUUUUGCUAUACUUUUGGAGUUUGGUUCGUAAUCUAUUUCGUAUUCGUCGCAGCAGAUAACGUACAUUAUAAAUAUAAAUCGAAGCGUGCUGUUUAUAAAGUGUAUGUAAUGUUUUAUACUUUAAUUUCACUUCUUUUUGUGUCGGUUAAUUUAUCCUUAGCCGAGACAACCUUAAAUUUGGCAAUUAAACAAACACAAGGGAAUCUAACAAAAACUGCGAUUUUGGACGUUACUGACUCAUUGCUCCGAUUGAUUACAUUUGAAAGCAAUUAACAAAAUGGCUGUGAAUACACUGUCUACUGAGGACAAGGAGUUCCUAGCCAAAUGUGAGGAACAACUGAAAGAUCGCUUUACGGACAAGGAUGAACAGUUUAUGGCAGUUUUUAAUGCAGACCCAUCGACCCCACCGAUCAUUGAAAACUGGUGGGUCCCACAGAAUGCUGGACGUAGAAAUGACCGUCGAAACAACAGAAGAAACCAUCCAUAUGAACGGAACAGAGAUAGAAACUUUGAUAGGAGGGAUAACUAUGACAGGAGAGGAUACAAUGACUAUAACAGAGGCUAUGAUGACAGGGGUUAUGGCAAUCGUAGCCAACGUCCCAGAUAUUGACUUACAAUAAGGAUAAUUUGUAAUUGAAACUAAUAAAUUUUUCAAAAGAA